CCUACGAGGAGCAGCAGUGAGGAAUAUUGGUCAAUGGGCGUAAGCCUGAACCAGCCAAGGCGCGUGAGGGAUGAAGGUUCUAUGGAUCGUAAACCUCUUUUAUAAGGGAAUAAAGUGUGGGACGUGUCCUAUUUUGUAUGUACCUUAUGAAUAAGGAUCGGAUAACUCCGUGCCAGCAGCCGCGGUAAUACGGAGGAUCCGAGCUUUAUCCGGAUUUAUUGGGUUUAAAGGGUGCGUAGGCGGAGGCACAAGUCAGCGGUAAAAUCGCGGGGCUCAACCCCGCUCCGCCGUUGAAACUGUGUCCCUUGAGGGCGCGAAGGGUAGGCGGAAUGCGUGGUGUAGCGGUGAAAUGCAUAGAUAUCACGCAGAACUUCGAUCGCGAAGGCAGCCUACCGGCGCGCAACUGACGCUCAUGCACGAAAGCGUGGGUAUCGAACAGGAUUAGAUACCCUGGUAGUC
rnacentral:rRNA from 1 species